rnacentral:rRNA from 1 species
AUCAACUUUCGAUGGUAGGAUAGAGGCCUACCAUGGUGGUAACGGGUAACGGGGUGUUAGGGCACGACACCGGAGAGGGAGCCUGAGAAACGGCUACCACAUCCAAGGAUGGCAGCAGGCGCGCAAAUUACCCAAUCCCGACACGGGGAGGUAGUGACAAUAAAUAACAAUACGGGGUUCUUUUGGAUCUCGUAAUUGGAAUGAGUACAAUUUAAAUCUCUUAACGAGGAACAAUUGGAGGGCAAGUCUGGUGCCAGCAGCCGCGGUAAUUCCAGCUCCAAUAGCGUAUAUUAAAGUUGUUGCAGUUAAAAAGCUCGUAGUUGAAUUUCGGGAUCAGUAGGUUGGUCAUGCCUAUGGUAUGUACUGGCUUUACUGGUUCCUCCUUCUUGAUGAUCUGUAAUGUCAUUAAUUUGGUGUUGCAGGGAGUCAGGACUGUUACUUUGAAAAAAUUAGAGUGUUUAAAGCAGGCAUACGCUUGAAUACAUUAGCAUGGAAUAAUGAAAUAGGACGUUCGAUCCUAUUUUGUUGGUUUCUAGGAUUGACGUAAUGAUUAAUAGGGAUAGUUGGGGGCAUUAGUAUUCAAUUGUCAGAGGUGAAAUUCUUGGAUUUAUUGAAGACUAACUACUGCGAAAGUAUUUGCCAAGGAUGUUUUCAUUAAUCAAGAACGAAAGUUAGGGGAUCGAAGACGAUCAGAUACCGUCGUAGUCUUAACCAUAAACUAUGCCGACUAGGGAUCGGAUGAUGUUAUUUUUAAUGACUCAUUCGGCGCCUUACGGGAAACCAAAGUGUUUGGGUUC